GGGAAUUUAGCUCAGUGGCACAAGCGCCUGCCUUGCAAGCAGGCAGUCCUGAGUUCGAUCCCCAGUACCCA
rnacentral:tRNA from 1 species